rnacentral:rRNA from 1 species
CCUACGGGAGGCAGCAGUGAGGAAUAUUGGUCAAUGGGCGCGAGCCUGAACCAGCCAAGUCGCGUGAGGGAAGACGGUCCUAUGGAUUGUAAACCUCUUUUGUCGGGGAGCAAAAGACGCCACGCGUGGCGUUCCGAGAGUACCCGAAGAAAAAGCAACGGCUAACUCCGUGCCAGCAGCCGCGGUAAUACGGAGUAUGCGAGCGUUAUCCGGAUGUAUUGGGGUUAAAGGGUGCGCAGGCGGAAGAUCAAGUCAGCGGUAAAAUUGAGAGGCUCAACCUCUUCGAGCCGUUGAAACUGGUUUUCUUGAGUGAGUGAGAAGUAUGCGGAAUGCGUGGUGUAGCGGUGAAAUGCAUAGAGAUCACGCAGAACUCUGAUUGCGAAGGCAGCAUACCGGCGCUCAACUGACGCUCAUGCACGAAAGUGUGGGGAGCGAACAGGAUUAGAUACCCUUGUAGUC